rnacentral:rRNA from 1 species
AUUGAACGCUGGCGGCAGGCCUAACACAUGCAAGUCGAACGAGGGGCGGACGGGAGAGUAAUGUCUGGGAAACUGCCAGAUGGAGGGGGAUAACUACUGGAAACGGUAGCUAAUACCGCAUACCAUCAGAAGUGCACAGAUGGGAUUGGCUUGAUGGGGGGGUAACGGCUCACCAAGGCGCCGACCCCUAGCUGGUCUGAGAGGAUGACCAGCGACGCUGGAACUGUGACACGGUCCUGACUCCGACGUGAGGCAGCAGUGGGGAUGAUGGCACACUGGGUGCAAGCCUGAUGCAGCUAUGCCGAGUGUGUGAAGAAGGCCUUCGGGUUGUAAAGUACUUUCAGCGGAGAGGCGUUGCCCGCAGAAGAAGCACCGGCUAACUCCGUGCCAGCAGCCGCGGUAAUAC